UAACGGAACCGCCCAAAUUAUAAGAGAUUAAGCCUAAUGGUGACCAUUUGCACAGUCGAACCAUCGAGCUUAAGCCCAUAUAAUCCCGAUAGUCCGUGAAAUCUCGAAGGAUUUCAAACCACACACAUACAUACAGCCAAGAUCGUAAUAAGUUCAGCGGACACCAUUCACAAUUACAUCCAGUUCGUAGCAUUCAUCACAUUACAUCGGAGUUCAAUAUAGUUAUUACAAACCAAGUUCUCAAGUAGCGGAAGCUCAUAGUUUUGAAAUAACACACACCCACUUAGUCUGAUACAGUGCCAUUUUGGAUCAUUCCCACA
rnacentral:lncRNA from 1 species